ACUGAUUAUUUUGUGACUGAGUGGCGGACGGGUGAGUAACGCGUGGGUAACCUGCCUCACACUGGGGGAUAACAGUUAGAAAUAGCUGCUAAUACCGCAUAAGCGCACAGUACCGCAUGGUACAGUGUGAAAAACUCCGGUGGUGUGAGAUGGAUCCGCGUCUGAUUAGGUAGUUGGUGGGGUAACGGCCCACCAAGCCGACGAUCAGUAGCCGACCUGAGAGGAUGACCAGCCACACUGGAACUGAGACACGGUCCAGACUCC
rnacentral:rRNA from 1 species